rnacentral:rRNA from 1 species
AUCCGGAUUUAUUGGGUUUAAAGGGAGCGUAGGCCGGAGAUUAAGCGUGUUGUGAAAUGUAGUGGCUCAACCUCUGCACUGCAGCGCGAACUGGUCUUCUUGAGUACGCACAACGUGGGCGGAAUUCGUGGUGUAGCGGUGAAAUGCUUAGACAUCACGAAGAACUCCGAUUGCGAAGGCAGCUCACGGGAGCGCAACUGACGCUGAAGCUCGAAAGUGCGGGUAUCGAACAGGAUUAGAUACCCUGGUAGUCCGCACGGUAAACGAUGGAUGCCCGCUGUUGGCCUGAAUAGGUCAGCGGCCAAGCGAAAGCAUUAAGCAUCCCACCUGGGGAGUACGCCGGCAACGGUGAAACUCAAAGGAAUUGACGGGGGCCCGCACAAGCGGAGGAACAUGUGGUUUAAUUCGAUGAUACGCGAGGAACCUUACCCGGGCUUGAAUUGCAGAGGAAGGAUUUGGAGACAAUGACGCCCUUCGGGGCCUCUGUGAAGGUGCUGCAUGGUUGUCGUCAGCUCGUGCCGUGAGGUGUCGGCUUAAGUGCCAUGACGAGCGCAACCC